GAUGAAGAACGUAGCGAAAUGCGAUAAGUAAUGCGAAUUGCAGAAUUUCCGUGAGUCAUCGAAUCUUUGAACGCACAUUGCGCCCACUGGUAUUCCGGUGGGCAUGCCUGUCCGAGCGUCAUUAUCCUCCCUCAAACCCCGGGUUUGGUGUUGGACCGAAGUUGUGUGAACAACUGGUCUAAAAAACAAUGACGGCGUCCGUGGGACCCUCGGUGCAACGAGCUUUUAGGAGCACGCGCCGAGUUGCAAGGACCUUCCGGGCCGGUCUCCUUUUACUAUUUUACAAGGUUGACCUCGGAUCAGGUAGGAAUACCCGCUGAACUUAAGCAUAUCAAUAAGCGGAGGA
rnacentral:misc_RNA from 1 species